GGAGAAGCCGCCGCCGCCGCUGCCGGGGGGAGGGGCUGGCGCCGCGGCCGCCGCCGAGGGCUCGGUCCCGCCGGCUGCCCAGGAGACGCCGUGGCGCUGAGCCGGGCCUAGUGCCGCGCGGGGGCCCGGGGAACGGGCCGGCCAGGUUUCCCCAUGUCCGUGACGUGUUGGCCGAGGCUCUGCGGCUCCUCUCCGCCCUCGGAGCGGCCAGUCGCUGCCCUCUGGACUCCGUGAUCCCCGACGGGCGUCAUGAGCAUUGCAAUCCCUCUGGGAGUCACCACACCAGAUACAUCCUACUCCGACAUGGCUGCAGGAUCGGACCCAGAGUCUGUGGAAGCUAGUCCAGCUGUCAGUGAGAAGAAUGUGUACUCCAGCCACGGCUAUGGGGCCACCCAGAAACACAGCUAUCGCGGGCUGCCUUACGCAGAUCAUAAUUAUGGAGCCCCUCCUCCUCCAACGCCGCCAGCCUCUCCUCCUGUCCAGACCAUUAUACCUCGUGCAGAACUGAACGGCCUGCACUCGCCUGAUGAGGAGAACUCCGGGGACAGUGAGAGCUCCUCAGAAGGAGAAGCAAUUCCCACUUGGUGCCACUGCAGUGUCUCUCAAGAUGGUUUCCUCCUCAAGUGUGAAAAGUGCAGAGGAAUGAGCAGGGGGAAGGUGAUCAGACUCCGCCGCCGGAAGCAGGACAACGUGUCAGGUGGGGACAGCAGUGCAACUGAGAGCUGGGAUGAAGAACUCUCUCCCUCCACAGUGCUGUACACAGCCACGCAGCACACCCCCACCAGCAUCACCCUGACUGUCAACCGUGUCCGCAGAAGCAAACCCAAGAAGAGGAAGAGGAGUACAGAAAAAGCUCGCACUGCUCCAAAGGCCAAAAAGAUCAAGGCAUUUCGCGAGGGCUCACGGAAGUCUCUGAGGAUGAAGAAUUCCCCUUCUGAAGCACAUGCCUUGGAUGAAAACACAGCUGAAGGGUGGGAGAAUCGAAUUCGCCUCUGGACAGAUCAGUACGAAGAAGCCUUCACCAACCAGUACAGCGCUGACGUGCAGAACUUGUUGGAGCGUCAUCUGAACUCCCACAAGGAAUACGUGGGCAAAACUGCUAUGCUAGACACAAUCAACAAAACUGAGCUGGCCUGCAAUAAUACUGUUAUUGGGUCCCAGAUGCAGCUGCAGCUGGGAAGGGUGACUCGGGUUCAGAAGCACCGGAAGAUCCUGAGGGCAGCAAGAGACUUGGCACUAGAUACCCUUAUAAUUGAGUAUCGAGGGAAGGUUAUGUUACGACAGCAAUUCGAGGUCAAUGGGCAUUUCUUCAAAAAGCCAUAUCCCUUUGUGCUGUUCUACUCCAAGUUCAAUGGUGUUGAGAUGUGCGUGGAUGCCCGCACCUUUGGUAACGAUGCCAGGUUCAUCAGGCGUUCCUGCACUCCAAAUGCAGAGGUUCGUCAUGUGAUUGCUGAUGGGAUGAUCCACCUGUGUAUCUAUGCUGUUGCCACCAUUGCCAAGGACACAGAGGUUACCAUCGCCUUUGACUAUGAGUACAACAUCUGCAACUAUAAAGUGGACUGUGCGUGUCACAAGGGGAACCGGAAUUGCCCUGUGCAGAAACGUAGCCCAAAUGCUGCAGACCACCUACCUCCACCUGUUUUAGGCACACUGCUUGGGGCAGAAACACGCCGUCGAAAAGCCCGUCGAAAGGAGCUAGAAAUGGAACAGCAGGGCCUUGCAUCAGAUGAGAACAGCAGUCAACAAACAGAGGAAGUUACUGAGGCACCUGCAGCCGCCAGUGACAAUGAGGUGGCAGAGAAAGAGGAGAAACAAGAAGAGGAGAAAGAGGAGCCUGUAGAUGAACAGGGAGCCUUGGUGCACAACCGACGGUCCCGAGAAGACAGGAAGGUAGAAGCCAUCAUGCACAUGUUUGAAAACUUGGAAAAGAGAAAGAGGAGACGAGAACAACCCCCAGACCGUAACAGUACUGAUGCUGAAAUCAACAUCAAUUCUGAGGCUCCUGAGCUGGAGGAAGUAAAAACAGAGACUCCUGAAACUGAAGAUGGAAGCUCAGCACCAAGUGCUGCUGCUCCAAACGUUUCUAACAGUAACAGCAGUACUGGGGUGAACACACGACGGUCUUCACAAGCAGUGGAUGCUGUCCCUGAAAAAGCAGUUACUAAACCAGCUCCAGCAAAACCCUCCAGGCCCCGACCAAAAAGUCGCUUCUCUCGAUACCGGACCAGUUCAGCACAAAGACUGAGAAGGCAGAAACAAGCCAGUUCCCAGCAAGCUGAACUCACACAGGCUGUCCCAGAGGAAAGAAGCACUGCCAGCUCAGUAACCGCAACAGAUGUCAGCAAUACAGAAGGUCCAGGAGAAGGCAGACAGACGGCAGGGUCUGACCCAACUGCUGUCCUGGCUGCGGGAUCUCAGUCUAAUCGAGCUGCAGUGAAGUACCCCAAAACUAAAAAGUAUCUGGUUACAGAAUGGCUGAACGACAAGGCGGAAAAGCAGGAGUGCCCCAUUGAAUGCCCUCUGCGCAUUACUACAGACCCAACAGUUUUGGCAACUACCCUAAAUAUGUUGCCAGGUCUCGUCCACUCCCCACUAAUUUGUACCACACCCAAACACUACAUUCGUUUUGGUUCACCUUUCAACCCUGAGAGACGUCGAAGGCCCUUUCUGUUGGAUGGAAUGUACAGCUCCUGUAAAAAGCGCUGGAUCAAACAAGCCCUGGAAGAGGGAAUGACUCAGACCUCACCAGCUCCGCAAGAGAACAGAACUCAGUGUCUAUACCAAAGUAACGAGAACAGCAGUUCUUCCAGCAUCUGCAAAGAUGACACAGACUUGCUGAGUCCCCUGAAGAAGUGGAAGUCUCGCUACUUGAUGGAGCAGAAUGUGAAGAAGUUGCUGAGGCCCCUGUCUCCUGUCACCCCUCCACCUCCCAUCCCUUCAGUCCCUGGUUCCACAAGCCCACAGCUGGCUACACCCUGCUCAUCACUGCCAGGAGAGGAGGAGAGUCGCAACGGUUACGGCAUGAUGUUCUCACCAAUUCCCUCUCUGGCUGCCAGUCGCUGCAAUACUCCGCUACAGUUCGAGAACGUAUCCUCCCCUGAGAGUUCCCCUGCGCAUAGGCCUGAGUCCAUGUCACCUGAGCUCUGCCUCCGGUCUGACCCAGAUUUGAAAGGUGGGUACCUGGAUUCCAGUGCGAACACCUGCCCGGAACGACCAUCGCUGCUCAGCUUUGGAUCCUCUGAUCUAGCUUCUCAACCCUCCAUAAACUCUACUUCAGAGAUGAACUUCCCAGGGAAAAGUGGGGACACACAGAUGCUGCUACGAAGCUCUGAUCAGGCGUUUCGGACAGAGUUUAAUUUAAUGUAUGCCUUCUCCCCCCUGAACGCGAUGCCACGCGUGGAGGGGCUGGUGCGGGGGGCUGCUCCCUCUGCAGAGAGGAAGCCAGUGAACUCGGAGGCAGGAUGCUGCAGCUCCCCUGCUGAAGGGUAUUUCAGCAGACACGAGUCAGGGCUGCUUAAAGAGACCGUGCAUGGAUCCAUGUCUCCCUGCGGCGAGAGGCCUUGCGACGGCGUCAGGUCUGCUCCCCAGAAUCCGCCACAGAGGAAGAAGGUAUCUCUACUGGAAUAUCGCAAGCGGAAACAAGAAGCCAAGGAGGGAGGUGAUUCAGCACGAUGCACGGGGACUCCCACCCGACAGGGCAGCAGCAGUUCUGGGACUGACACAGAUGGCAGCAGCCUGCCCAGCUCCGUAGUACGAACCCCGUCCUCCCCACUAAGUGGCUUCUCCCCUUCUCAUCCCGCCCUGCCUCACGUAGAGGACAUCAGCCCACCAGACUCCAGGGGGUCUAGUUCCUCGACAUCACUCAGCAAAUCCCAGGAGAGCAUCAGCAGUAGGUGGAUGGUGCCCACGUCAGUGGAGAGGCUUCGGGAGGGCCGGGGCAUCCUGGAGAAGGUGCUGCGGAGCGGCGCGAAGGUGUCCCAGCGGAGCGAGUCCUCACCUACCUGUGACAGUGCUGCUGAGAGAGAUCCAGGUAGGAAGAUGAAACAUCUGAAUGCUUGGCAGAGUGAUGGGCUCAAAUAACUUCACAGACUUCUCUGUGAAGUUAGUUUUACCUUAAUCUUUAUCAAUGCCUUAUAAGAGCCUUCUGCAAACUGUAUUUUACUGUUAUUCAGAUAUUGCCUGAGCCUGUAUCCCUCUCCUGUUAGACCUGGAAGACCUCCAGGUUUCUCCAUGGUUUGGGUUCAGGACUACCUACAUCUUGGCUCUGACAAGGACAGCUUCUUUGUCCCUGAGCAGAUGGAUUAAGCAACAUUGCCUCGAUUUCCCCUGUGUACUGAGGAUGAAAGUUCCAUCAUUUAAUAAUUCUAGGAGGCUGAACAUCCAGAUAAAUGUAUGAUCACACUAAAAUGCAGAUGUAGGCUUUAGGCAGUGCUAAGAAAUAAUUUAGCUUCCAAGCCUCACUGUAGCACUUUUUGAAGUUGCUUGAUUCCUUGAGUUACAGUAUUUCUCAGUUUGGUGAAAUGCACCUCCUGACUGAGGUGAAACCAGUUAUGUGUUGAUGUUCCUUUCUUUUCUAAAUGAAAGCAUUGUCCUCACCAAGUAGCAUGCAGGGUCAGUGAGUAUUUGUAACCUGAGCAGAAAUUAUACCCCUCUUUUGUCCAUCUGUGGUCAAAGGGUGAGAUGUGACUUUCUGUGAGAUGGACAGGUCACUUCAUAAUUGCCCAACUUCUCAGCUGUGAAGUGGAGUUAUUUUUUAUUUUGCAGUCUGCGUUGAACAUGGUGGUUUUUCUCUGACAGAGUGUGCCUUCGGAAGGCUGAUCACACUUGGGACUUACAGUAAUGGAUCAUCGUAUUUAAACAGCUGAGUCUGUGUGUCACCAUCAGUCCUUGCUUCCUCAUAGCUGGGAACUGUUGUUAGAGAUUCCUGGCUGAGAUGGUUACAGCUGACUGAUGAUCCCUGCCACUCCUGGUGUUACCUUUAGGAGUUGUGAAGAUACACGUUUACUUGAUGCUGUUAACAGAUAAUAUGAGGGCAACUAAAAACCCCAAAACUUGGAUGGUUUGCUGGUGGAGCAUGUAGGAAUGAGAUGGAACUUGUGUGCAUGCCUCUCUUCUGAGAAUUGCAGCUGCUCUCUGUUAAAGCUGUCACUUCAUAUAUGCUUUGGGUUAACACAGGCCAGUACAGCCAAGAAAAGCAAUUCUUCUUUAUGUCCUUCCUUGUGCAGAUAUUAAGAAAUAGGGAAGAAAAAUGUUUGCUUUGUCUUUUAAGUUUCCACAAAGCAAACUCAAAGCAAAGUUACAGGUAAUUCACCCUUUGUGCUUUAGAGUCUUUCAAUAUUUAACUUGUCAAGGUUUUUUUCUGUGAACAGGCACUGCCAGAAAAUUGUACUGGUGUGCCCAGCCUCUUAAGAAAAAAUUUCUUCCAGAGAUCUUUAGAUUUCUUCUGAUUCUGAUACUCAAGUCUCUUCUGUGCCUGACUGCUUAACAAAACAUGCCCCGAACUUCAGGUUGUGCCUUCCUGCAGUGCAGUACUCAGAAUGCCACCCACAACAAACAUCGACUUGAUGCAUCAGAUGUAGUGUCAAGAAAUGGAAGGUAGCACAGGACACAUGCUGAAAACUUGACACUGUGGGUUCUUUGAAGGUUUUGUGUCCUGAGGAAGAGGACACGGGGCUUCCAAGCCUCAAGAGCAGACAAGGCAACUCCUUCCUGAUCCCUGUUUCGUGGGGGCAGCAGCUGUGCUGUAGCACAGAGAGGACAACCACCACAAAGCCAUGGGCACUGCUGACACUGGUGCUCGUGCCAGUGCAUCUGUUGCAAAGCCAGACCUCUCUGGCAGGAGCACAGAGCAGACUGAGGCAGCGUGUCCUGUUUCAUGGCUGACACACAUCUGUCAUAUAAUUUUGAAACUAAUACCAACACUGUUUUACCACGGCAUUUCAAAUGUCACUGCUGAGAAUCCCUGAGAUGCUGCAGCUGAGCAGCUCUGCCUCAUUAGACCACAGCAUAACUCUGAUGUGAAAUCUAGUUUCUCCAGUUUCACUCCCUCCUAAAGCACCAUCACCAGGUGAACUCCAUGGUUACAGUGGGAGUGACUGAAAUACACACAUGACAAAGUGGCUGGGUCACUUGCAAUAAGUACUUUUUGCCUACUCCAGUUCAAGUUCAUUAUUUGGUGGGACAAGAAGCUCACAUAUCCUCUAAGAUAUAGGUGCUAGAAAGGCUUGCUCUGGCAAGAAGCAGCUUAUUCUUCUUGAUCUCUCGUGUGGCAAAGGUGGGUCAUUGUGUACUGUGCUGCUGUUACCUGUCAAACCUUGAAGCAUUGUCAUCAUCUUGCCCUGUUUCUGAAAUAGGCAUUUCUGAGGUCUGAGAGUAACCAUCUCCCUUUGGAGCAGCUCAGUUGACUUGUAAAGCAUAAUCCCCAAAAUGGCAGCAAGGGUGCUGGCAGCCCUGGCAUCCUGGGACCUCAGCCUUCAGCAGUGUCUGGAACUGCCUUUGAGGAAAACCUGCAGCAGGAUCCUGCUGACAGCCAUCUGAGAAUCGGCAGUUUCAUCUCCCCAGCUGUAGCCAGUAUGGAUUCCUGUGACCAAGGCUGAGUGGAGAAUUGCUGAGUCCCUGGAAACCGUCUUCUGCCUCCCAUAUCUUUCUGGGAAGCCAAGGGAGCCCAGGCUGUGGCUGUGAGGUGCAGCUGUUCAGACACAGCAGAAGGAGACACUCCAGA